rnacentral:rRNA from 1 species
GAUGAACGCUGGCGGCGUGCUUAACACAUGCAAGUCGAACGAAGCAUUUGCGACAGAUUUCUUCGGAUUGAAGUUGUUUAUGACUGAGUGGCGGACGGGUGAGUAACGCGUGGGUAACCUGCCUCAUACAGGGGGAUAGCAGCUGGAAACGGCUGGUAAUACCGCAUAAGCGCACAGUACCACAUGGUACAGUGUGAAAAACUCCGGUGGUAUGAGAUGGACCCGCGUCUGAUUAGCUAGUUGGCGGGGUAACGGCCCACCAAGGCGACGAUCAGUAGCCGACCUGAGAGGGUGACCGGCCACAUUGGGACUGAGACACGGCCCAGACUCCUACGGGAGGCAGCAGUGGGGAAUAUUGCACAAUGGAGGAAACUCUGAUGCAGCGACGCCGCGUGAGUGAAGAAGUAGUUCGCUAUGUAAAGCUCUAUCAGCAGGGAAGAUAGUGACGGUACCUGACUAAGAAGCUCCGGCUAAAUACGUGCCAGCAGCCGCGGUAAUACGUAUGGAGCAAGCGUUAUCCGGAUUUACUGGGUGUAAAGGGAGUGUAGGUGGCCAGGCAAGUCAGAAGUGAAAGCCCGGGGCUCAACCCCGGGACUGCUUUUGAAACUGCAGGGCUAGAGUGCAGGAGGGGCAAGUGGAAUUCCUAGUGUAGCGGUGAAAUGCGUAGAUAUUAGGAGGAACACCAGUGGCGAAGGCGGCUUGCUGGACUGUAACUGACACUGAGGCUCGAAAGCGUGGGGAGCAAACAAGAUUAGAUACCCUGGUAGUCCACGCCGUAAACG